rnacentral:rRNA from 1 species
UCAGGACGAACGCUGGCGGCGUGCCUAAUACAUGCAAGUCGAACGCUUCUUUUCCCACCGGAGCUUGCUCCACCGGGAAAAGAGGAGUGGCGAACGGGUGAGUAACACGUGGGUAACCUGCCCAUCAGAAGGGGAUAACACUUGGAAACAGGUGCUAAUACCGUAUAACAAUCGAAACCGCAUGGUUUCGUUUUGAAAGGCGCUUUACGGUGCCGCUGAUGGAUGGACCCGCGGUGCAUUAGCUAGUUGGUGAGGUAACGGCUCACCAAGGCCACGAUGCAUAGCCGACCUGAGAGGGUGAUCGGCCACAUUGGGACUGAGACACGGCCCAAACUCCUACGGGAGGCAGCAGUAGGGAAUCUUCGGCAAUGGACGAAAGUCUGACCGAGCAACGCCGCGUGAGUGAAGAAGGUUUUCGGAUCGUAAAACUCUGUUGUUAGAGAAGAACAAGGGUGAGAGUAACUGUUCACCCCUUGACGGUAUCUAACCAGAAAGCCACGGCUAACUACGUGCCAGCAGCCGCGGUAAUACGUAGGUGGCAAGCGUUGUCCGGAUUUAUUGGGCGUAAAGCGAGCGCAGGCGGUUUCUUAAGUCUGAUGUGAAAGCCCCCGGCUCAACCGGGGAGGGUCAUUGGAAACUGGGAGACUUGAGUGCAGAAGAGGAGAGUGGAAUUCCAUGUGUAGCGGUGAAAUGCGUAGAUAUAUGGAGGAACACCAGUGGCGAAGGCGGCUCUCUGGUCUGUAACUGACGCUGAGGCUCGAAAGCGUGGGGAGCAAACAGGAUUA